GUGCAACCAUGGGGGAUAUGCGUAUAAGAGUAGGCUAGUGGACAAGAAUGAAAAGAGCAAGCGCGCACCAGAGACUAGCAUUCAGAGUCACCUCGCUCCUGACAGGGAUGACCCUUCUAGUCCAUUGAUGGCAAGUUUCCUGAGAAGCUGCCUUUAGACUGGAGAGAGAAGAGACAGAGAAUGAGGGAGUCGGGCUGCAGGCGUUUGUCACAGUGAAGAGGCUGUCCUGUGAGGCACAGGACAAGCUUCAUGACAACAGAGCCCUUUCCUGUCUCCAGAACAGUGACCAGCCAUGGGCACAAGUCUUUGGUAAAUAUUUGUUGGGAUAUUAUAACACACACAGGAUACCAAUUCGGAUGCUGUCUUACUCUGGCUAUUUGUUGUCUGAAGAAUGUGAGGAGCACCACGGACUUAAACACAGGUGCUCUCCCCUCAGUGGUUCCUGGGGUUCAUAGUUACUCUGCUUCCCUCAGAGAUGCUCAGGCUCCCAGAGAGCAAAUAUCUCCUGGAGAAUCUUAGUUGUUUUUUCUUCUACUCCUACCUAUGUGGGAAUCCCAGGACACACAGUUCAAACUACUUAGGGCACUGGUGUGUUGGACACAGUGAGAUUCUGAGGCAGCAGAAUAUGUCCUCAACUUCUGUGUGACAUGACUCCACCUUCCGUCUGUGAUGUCCUUUAAUGCUCACACUUAAGGUCAAU